rnacentral:misc_RNA from 1 species
UCCGGCUUGACGCCGGCAGUCUCGCUAGAGUACUGGCUUUCGCCGAGCAACUAACGACAGGGGUUGCGCUCGUUAGAGGACUUAACCCGACACUUCACAGCACGAGCUGACGACAGCCAUGCAGCACCUGUGCACGUUCCACCCUUGCGGGUGUGGCCCCACUUUCAUGGGGUUAAUCCGUACAUGUCAAACCCAGGUAAGGUUCUUCGCGUUGCCUCGAAUUAAGCAACAUGCUCCACCGCUUGUGUGAGCCCCCGUCAAUUCCUUUGAGUUUUAGCCUUGCGACCGUACUCCCCAGGCGGCGCGCUUAUCGAUUUUUCUACGACCGAGCCGGCGUCAGAGCCGCCCCGAUCUAGCGCGCAUCGUUUACGGCGUGGACUAC